ensembl:lncRNA
UUUUUUGGGGCAAGAAGCAUGAAACAGUGGGAACUUUGGGGGUGGGAACUCCAGAGGGUUCGGUGAAGGAGGAGUACAGUCACUGGGAGACAAAAUGGAGAGUGGGUAAAAUUUCUGUGCCACCGACUGGGAAAGUCCCCCAAUAUCCCCAGGACUUUGGCAUUUGAAUGAUUUCACAUUUCAGAUAAGGGAAAAAGUCUCAGCCUGUUCCUGUGAACCCCCCCGCCUCCAGGUCACCUUCUGCAUUCACCACCUGAUUUGCAAAUGGCUUUUGACCAAUUUUCCCCUGGUAGAUUACUUCUCACUAUUACUCUUCUGCGUUGCUGCAGUACUCACCAAUGCCAUGCUGAGAGCACCCAGCUCUGACUGUGGGAAAUGAGAGGCGAAGCUCAAGCUUCACAAAGUCGAUUUCUGUCUGCACAGGUCAGCUAUGCUGCAGCAUGGUUUUUUGAAAAGCUGCAGAUGCCCUGACAUCAAGGGAGCUGUUGUUCAUGUGCAGGUAAAGAAGAAGCAGUGAAAGCUUUAUACAUGCUUUAAACACAGUUUUCUUUCAGUUUUGCCUGAAUGGAUCCAACAGAAAGGUUUUGCCUGAGCUACAGCUUCAAGGGUUUGCAUGCUUCUUAUUAAAUCUUCGUACUCUAUAGGCAAAAGGGGUUGGGAUGAAUAAGUGGAGAGUUGAAACCCAUGUUCAUACAUUCUGUGUUGUGCAUUGAACUUUGAUGUUAAUAUCAUUAGUUUUGUGUUCUCUUUCAGAAGAAAGACAUGAAAAUGAUGAUGCUAUGGGUCAAAACAGGUGCACAAAGGCCGUCAAAUGAGAAAUGUAUUUUGUUUCAGUAACAGACAUAGUUUAGAUACUUUUAAUAUAUCUGAUUGAUAGAUUACUUUUCGGGGGGGGGGGGGGGGGGGGGGGGGAGAUACCUAAUAUAUAAUACAGCUUUCUAUUUGUACUGUGAUAUUAUUAAAAGUAAAUUAUUUCCUGUUAAACAAAACAAAAAAACAAACAAAAAAAAAACAUGGAAAUUUAGAGGAAAAUAGGGCUUAUCAAGUCAAACAGGAUCCAACAUAAUUUUAAGUGUAUCCGUCAGAAAAUUCUAAAACAUUUUUUACACUGUGAGUAAAAAAAGUCUCCCUCCAUAGCACCCACUGAACAGACUGCAGCUCAACAGCAGCUUCAUUCUGGUGCUGGAUUGAGGCGGGUGGCUGCAUUGCAAUGCCAACAACACAGCUGAAGUUGGGGGCACGUAGGCGGCACUGGGAAGCCAGCAUACGGUUCAGAGACAGUGGUGGCUCUACUCACCAAAAGGGCUUGGUGGCUGCCAAGUUAGUCCUGACAUCCUUCAAACUCCAAAACAGAAAGAAGAGAGGAAGAAACAAGAAGGCACUUUCAACCAGAGACUGCACCAAUACAACAGAGGAGGCUGUUUGAGGUCUAGUAGCCCUCAAAUCUCAUCUCUUUUACUUUCACAUCUGAGAAGAAGUAAAGAAGUGGCUCUCAGUAUGACCAGUGCUUUGUGAAACAUAUGAAAAUAUUCCAUCUUGUGACUCUCCCCCACUUUUAAGAGGAGGCAAAAGGUAUCAGCAGCAGGAGCAGGCGGUGCGCUGCUCCGUGCAUUGUGAUUCACACUGAAACACCGUAGGAG